GAUGAACGCUGGCGGCGUGCUUAACACAUGCAAGUCGAACGAACAGGCCCUGCUUUUGUUCCGUGCUCGUGUGGCGCACGCGUGUGUAACACGCGAGUAACCUCCCCCUGUCUUUGGGAUAACUUCACGAAACUGGGGCUAAUACCGGAUAUGAGCUCCUGCUGCACGGUGGUGGUUGGAAAGUUUCGGCGGUUGGGGAUGGACUCGCUGCUUAUCAGCUUGUUGGUGUGGUAGUGGCGUACCAAGGCUUUGACGGGUAGCCUGCCUGAGAGGGUGACCGGGCACAAUGGGACUGAGAGAAGGCCCAGAAGCCUACGGGAGGCAGCAGGGGAGAAUAUGGCACAACGGGCGGAAGCCUGAGGCAGCAACGCCGCGUGCGGGAUGACGGCCUUCGGGUGGUAAACCGCUGUGGACGGAGAUGAAGCGUGAGUGACGGUACUUGGUAAAGAAGCAACGGCUAACUACGUG
rnacentral:rRNA from 1 species